rnacentral:sRNA from 1 species
CAACCACGCACCUUUGUUCUUGUGAAGCUGGUCAUGUCCCGGUCCGUACCGGAUGCGGAAAGAAAUAUUCCAAACCAAAAGUGAUUCUCCCGGAUGGAUACAGCUUUGAAGUAUUGGAGGGAAAGAAUGCAGAAUUGAAGUGUUCCACAGAUGCUCCAUUUGUUGACUGGUAUUACGACAAUGGUACUUUCGUCACUACAGGCACGACCUACACUCUUGCAUCGGCCUCGGCUGCUAAUGUAGGAAAAAUUAAAUGCAAGGGAAAGUUAGAGAAAACAGACAGUGCACUAGAUUCGGACUUCAGUGACGCUCAGGACAUUAAACUUAUAAAAAAAACAGG